rnacentral:rRNA from 1 species
AGCGAACGCUGGCGGCAGGCCUAACACAUGCAAGUCGAACGAACCUUUCGGGGUUAGUGGCGGACGAGUGAGUAACACGUGGGAACGUGCCUUUAGGUUCGGAAUAACUCAGGGAAACUUGUGCUAAUACCGAAUGUGCCCUUCGGGGGAAAGAUUAAUCGCCUUUAGAGCGGCCCGCGUCUGAUUAGCUAGUUGGUUGAGGUAAUGGCUCACCAAGGCGACGAUCAGUAGCUGGUCUGAGAGGAUGAUCAGCCACAUUGGGACUGAGACACGGCCCAAACUCCUACGGGAGGCAGCAGUGGGGAAUCUUGCGCAAUGGGCGAAAGCCUGACGCAGCCAUGCCGCGUGAAUGAUGAAGGUCUUAGGAUUGUAAAAUUCUUUCACCGGGGACGAUAAUGACGGUACCCGGAGAAGAAGCCCCGGCUAACUUCGUG